rnacentral:rRNA from 1 species
UUUAGGUAGCGCCUCGUGAAUUCAUCUCCGGGGGUAGAGCACUGUUUCGGCAAGGGGGUCAUCCCGACUUACCAACCCGAUGCAAACUGCGAAUACCGGAGAAUGUUAUCACGGGAGACACACGGCGGGUGCUAACGUCCGUCGUGAAGAGGGAAACAACCCAGACCGCCAGCUAAGGUCCCAAAGUCAUGGUUAAGUGGGAAACGAUGUGGGAAGGCCCAGACAGCCAGGAUGUUGGCUUAGAAGCAGCCAUCAUUUAAAGAAAGCGUAAUAGCUCACUGGUCGAGUCGGCCUGCGCGGAAGAUGUAACGGGGCUAAACCAUGCAC